rnacentral:rRNA from 1 species
AGUGAAAGACGGUCUUGCUGUCACUUAUAGAUGGAUCCGCGCUGCAUUAGCUAGUUGGUAAGGUAACGGCUUACCAAGGCAACGAUGCAUAGCCGACCUGAGAGGGUGAUCGGCCACACUGGAACUGAGACACGGUCCAGACUCCUACGGGAGGCAGCAGUAGGGAAUCUUCCGCAAUGGGCGAAAGCCUGACGGAGCAACGCCGCGUGAGUGAUGAAGGUCUUCGGAUCGUAAAACUCUGUUAUUAGGGAAGAACAUAUGUGUAAGUAACUGUGCACAUCUUGACGGUACCUAAUCAGAAAGCCACGGCUAACUACGUGCCAGCAGCCGCGGUAAUACGUAGGUGGCAAGCGUUAUCCGGAAUUAUUGGGCGUAAAGCGCGCGUAGGCGGUUUUUUAAGUCUGAUGUGAAAGCCCACGGCUCAACCGUGGAGGGUCAUUGGAAACUGGAAAACUUGAGUGCAGAAGAGGAAAGUGGAAUUCCAUGUGUAGCGGUGAAAUGCGCAGAGAUAUGGAGGAACACCAGUGGCGAAGGCGACUUUCUGGUCUGUAACUGACGCUGAUGUGCGAAAGCGUGGGGAUCAAACAGGAUUAGAUACCCUGGUAGUCCACGCCGUAAACGA